rnacentral:rRNA from 1 species
UACGAAGGGUGCAAGCGUUAAUCGGAAUUACUGGGCGUAAAGCGUGCGUAGGUGGUCUGCUAAGUCUGAUGUGAAAGCCCUGGGCUCAACCUGGGAAUUGCAUUGGAUACUGGCAGGCUAGAGUGCGGUAGAGGAUGGCGGAAUUCCCGGUGUAGCAGUGAAAUGCGUAGAGAUCGGGAGGAACAUCUGUGGCGAAGGCGGCCAUCUGGACCAGCACUGACACUGAGGCACGAAAGCGUGGGGAGCAAACAGG